rnacentral:lncRNA from 1 species
AAUUCCGCACUCGUUACUCUUUAGUGUGAUAUAUUGUUGUGAUUAAAUUUUUUUUAUUGCAUUUAUAUUGUUUGACAACUAUAAAUUCAAAAUUUACUUGGAAAACACUCUUCUCUUUUUCUUUUCAAAAUGGCAUAAUAUUAUUAGUAGUGGCAAAGCGUCCCACUUUACAUACAGUGGAGGAGCAUGCAUGUGAUAUAUGAGCCCUUUGCUCUAGAUAAGUACAAAGUGAUCUGAUUAGAACCGUUUAAAAUGUCUUCCGUCAGAACGAAUUGACGUGUGGUUGGUUAUUAUCCCACGUGAAAAUGGAUUGAGAUAACCACUCGCUGUAUAUCGCAUUUCUUAAAUAAUCGUCUCGUUUUGGUGCACGAUAAAUUGUGAGUAUGUAAAGCACUUUUCAUAUUUAGCACUUUAAUCUACUUUAUUCUUUAACUACUAUUUCAGUUCAGCACGCAUUCAUGUUUUUCGGGUAACGCUAUUCAUACAUUCUUAUUUAUUUUGUACAUAUUUUUGUUAAUUUUUAUUUAUUGAUUUUAUUUAAUUUGUUCAAUUUGAUAAUUGAAAAUUGAGAGAAGUGGGUAAAAAGAAAAUUAGAUCUGUGGAUAGCAUCGCCCGUGCUUUUUAUUCUUUGUGAACAUGUGGUUUUGUCUUUUUUAUUUUUUAUUUUUUAUUUUUAUAUUUAUUACGAAUCUCAACGGUAUGGAAGAAAUUUAUAUAGAACGGAUUUAAGGUCACGUGGUGUUUUGAUUUAAUAAUGUAAUACCAUGUAAAAAUAAGAGAAAUUUAUAUUUAACUUUGUAUUAUUGAAUCAGAACGAUGAAUAAUCAAUUUUAUAACGCUUGGUAAAAUACGAGUACCUUUAUUUUGGAUUUUGACAAGCAUCACUUAAGAUGACUUCAUGUACUAGUUAAUGUAAAUCGAGUUGAAUAAUGCGCCCACUCCAUUAUUUUUUACUGUAAAUAUGCAUGCAUCGGUGGCCUAAUUUAUUAUAUAAUAAGAAAAUUAAUUUUUGCAUAUAUAUUUUUUUCUUGUUUUGGAAAUGUUAGUUUACUUAUAUAUGACAAAACAAGAACAUACAGAAUGCAAAUUAGGGUAUGCGACAAUCACUUCUAUAUAAACGAUAACUUCACAACAUCAAAAUGAUUCACCCCAAGUUCAGGCAUCUUCAAAUAGAAGUAACACAUGUGCUUUCUUAAAACAAAAUGCAUGCAUAAAUACUAUUUUUUCGUUAAAAAAAAGAUAUAUACACGGUUACCAUAAAAAAAUAUAUCAAAAGUAUUAUGACUUGUUUGAGUAUUUUUAGAAUUCAAAAACAUUUUUUUUCAAAAUCAUUUUUUAGUCAUUUUAAAAUUGUUUCCAACUGAGCAUUUACACAAUAAUCACUCAUACAUGAUGAAUAAUAAAUAAAACGUAGUAAUUGGUAUUUCCUUACAAUAUAAUUAGUAACAGAUAGGAAAAUAUUUGUCAGAAGUGUGAACCAAUUCACAUAUCAUCAAUACAGGUCUAUAUUUCCCUAGAAAAAAAGGGAUAUAUAUAUAUACUAAUAGAUUAACAGAUAAUAUAAUUCCUUGGAAUAAGGUAAGAAGAAAUAUUCUUUGCAACAUAUUCAUAUUUAUUUAUAAUUUUUUUCUUCGGGAAAAUCGUAUUGUUCUACUUCUUUAAAAUGUUUUUUUUGUUUUUUAUAAUUUCGUAUUGCUACAUGUGAAAUUAACAAAGAAGAUGAUAAAUGUUAUAUGCAGAAAGUAGAUGUUAUAGGUAGAUGAGAUGGCUACAUACGUCCUUUUCUGUAAUAAAUGUAUUUAUAUGGCUAGAUCUUCCCCAUAGACUUGCGUAAUUCUUUUACAUGUAACGAGAAAUUUAUUCUUAAAGCAUAUUUAAAAUAGAUGUCAAAAAUAAUAGGUGAACUAUUUUGGCAAUAAAAAGGUGGUUUUUUGGUACCAAAAGAGAUGCCAAAAUCCUACAUUCUCCACUUUGCUGCCAAGUUUGAAGGCAAUGUCAAAUAUUUCUUUUUGUUUUAUUUGUGUUGGACCCACAUAUUUCUUUAUUUUUCUUCACUUAUGAUUAUCAAAUUCUGACCAUCUUGAUUUUAUAAAUAACCAAAAAACAUUUUGUUUGACAUCUCGGUUGGAAUGAAGACUUUACAAAAUCUUAUUUUGCCACAUCAGUUAUAAAAGUAAAACUCGACAUCUCAUUGGAGAUGGUCUUACAUAUAUGACUACAACUUAACACGUGUACUAGAACGAUAUUGGAAUGACUGUUUACAUUCAAAGAAUCACAUAAUGAUGCUCUGCAAAGUGACACUUAUAUUUUUUAAAGACUUUUAUCAAAUUUGAAUGCUUUUCUAAUAAAAUCUUAAAAUAGGCAAUCAAACAACAUGUAUAGAUUUUGUGGCCUAUUUCUUAUUUAUUGUAGCAUCUCCCCGUUGUGUGACUAAUUAUGUUUCUAGAGAAGCCAGUGUGGC